UACGGGAGGCAGCAGUGGGGAAUCUUCCGCAAUUGGCGAAAGCCUGACGGAGCAACUCCGCGUGAGGGAAGAAGGCUUUCGGGUUGUAAACCUCUGUCUUAAGGGAAGAACAAAAUGACGGUACCUUGAGAGGAAGCCCCGGCUAACUACGUGCCAGCAGCCGCGGUAAAACGUAGGGGGCGAGCGUUGUCUGGAAUUACUGGGCGUAAAGGGCGCGUAGGUGGUGCAUUAAGUUAGAGGUGAAAGUCCGGGGCUUAACCCCGUGAGGCCUCUGAUACUGGUGGACUUGAGUGCAGGAGAGGGGAGCAGAAUUCCCAGUGUAGCGCUGAAAUGCGUAGAUAUUGGGAGGAAUACCAGUGGCGAAGGCGGCUCUCUGGACUGUAACUGACACUGAGGCGCGAAAGCGUGGGGAGAGAACACGAUUUGAUAUCCUGGUAGUCCACGCC
rnacentral:rRNA from 1 species